CUAAACCACAACCCAGGGGCUGCGUAGAAGCUUCAGGCUUCUCUCUUGUCCCAAACAUCAUCAUCACACACUAUUUGUGAGCCACCCCAUAACAAAUAGUCCUCUGGGCGGCUCACAACACACCAUUGAGAAAUGUCCAAUAAGAGCACAUACAAAACGACAAACACAUCACAACACAAAACAGCAGCAAAUAUCCAACCCGCAGCGACACAGAAGCCACAAAGGAAUUAAAAGAGCCGACAAGGAUGCACAAGAUAGCCAAAGCAAGGGUUGUGUUCCUCACCGCCCUGAAUGCUCUGUCAAUCCACAGGCCAUCAGUAGAAACUUCAGGCUGCUCUGUUCUCUCACCACCUGUGGAAGGCAGCGUGAUCUCUCAUUCUGUGGCUGCCUGGAAUGAAACACGCUUCAUGUAUGUUACAAGCUUCAGGCAUCUUCAUUCUCCCAACAGCCUUGUCAAGCUGGAUAUCCUCUAAGAUGGUGACUGCCUUUAACAGGACACACUUCAUAUGUGGUGCAUGCUCAGCAGCCCUUUGUGCCAUGUUUGGAAAGAAGAAACAGAGUUGGCACACAUUUGCAAUGACCUCCAUGCCGGAGUGGUGAUUUUGGAAUGUGUUCUCCUCCCAAGAGGCCUGUGUGGGAGGCAGGAUCAAAGACAGGGACUGGACCCAAAGUAAAGGGAUCCCACCCCUGUCAAAAAUAGAACUCCCAGGGUGGUGUAAGAGACAAUCGAACAGGAACUAGACUAAUGCCUGCUAUAAUGAGGUUCUUCAGCAGAGCACUGAAGAAUCUAUACCAAAUAAGUAUUGUUAUGGCUGACAAGCAGACUAGGUUUCUCAGUAGUUAUCCCUCAAUGGUUACUCUAAAGGAGGACUCAAUUUCAAUAGGGGUUGCAUUGGGUAAUUUGGCCAGGAUGUCAGCCAGUAUUCAUUAUGCAUUGAUUUUUGCAAGAUGAGAUGAAACAGCUGUGAAACUAGUUACCAAGAAAUCAAAGAUUUCAUCCUUAGUGAACUUCUCAUAUUCUAACAGAAGAAUGUGGUAUUGCUCACACUUUAAAAUCAAUGACAUGCCUUUUUCUCUUCCAGUGGGUUUCAAGAAAGAGCAUAAGGAAUGAGGAGGACACAGAAGACAAGACAAGCUGACCUGAUCAAUCUUGUGAUGAGGAGGCGCAAUGUCCGAGAAUUGAAGAACUAUUCAACAUAGUUAUUCAAUUUCAAAAACAGACCAGUGGAGGCGACAAGAGACAAGCCAUGCCAAGCAAAACUGCAUUACCCUUUUAGGUCUUGUUUUCAGAAGAUUAGUCUCAAAACCAGUGGCUGGCUGCUGCAAAUAGAGGCUUCAAGCGUGAGCUGAUUUUAUCCUUGGCCCUGUGAGGUUUUUUCACCCGUCAGGCAUCCUUUUUCACUUGUCACAGAUGUGUAGACUAGUGGAUUUUCUGAGCCCUGAUUCUAAACCUGGAUUGGAGAAAAAUGGAAUUUUUCUUGGUGCAGAUCUCCUGACCUAGCUGCUUUGCCAAUCAAUCAAUGUAUCGCGAUCCAUAGACCAGAAAAUUUUCCCCUAGCAGACUGAUUUACAUUGACGGCCAUGUGGAUUGUGGGUAAAUCCCUAAGGAAGUUAUUUGAAGAAAUCCAAAGUGUAUAAAAGUGACUAAUAUCAAAGAGGUAUGUAUCAACUCCUAUUUAGAUGUUUUUACUCCCUUAUUAGGAUGUUAGAUAUACAGUUAAGGUGACUCUAUUUAUUUAAAAGUCUUCUGAUUUUCCUCUCAAAAGAGACUUGUGCAGACAGGUUGAAAGUUGCUCUUACAAUAAGUGAUGUAGGGACAUAGGAGCUGAAGUCCUAUGGUCAGGGUGAAGUGCUGGUAACCUCUCCCCUGUAGCCUCCAAAGAAAAGAGGAGAACUUUCUGCAACUGGAAGAAAAAAGAUGAAGUCUGAAGAAAAGAUUCACUGUGGAAGGAGCGGUCCGCUUGCCAUGGACUGUGAUGAUUUCUUGCUCCACGUUAUUGAUAGCCAGUUUAAUUUAUUCUUACCUUUUAAAUUGUUGUUCUGUAUGUGAGCAUUCUGUGCAUUCAGUAUUUCUUCUUUUUGGGUUCUUCUUUUUGUAAUGUAUUUUAAAUGUCUGGAAAUUU